rnacentral:lncRNA from 1 species
CUUGCAGGGGAACAAAGCGGCAUCAUUCCAUUAUUCCAGGGGAGGUGCUAAAUACAAGGGUGAGGCUGUCAAGCGGUCCCUGGUGGAGUCCUACAUUCACCCAAACAGCAACGAGACAGAGCGGAGGGGAACAUCGAUACUGUCAUGAACUGGUUCACCUAGGAAGACUUUGACUUUGUGACUCUGUGCUACAGAGAGCCAGAUAACGUGGGACAUCGAUUUGGGCCAGAGGCAGAGAACAGGAAGUUGAUGAUUCAGCAAAUCGACAGGACCAUCGGGUAUCUGGUGGGAGCCACUGAGAAGCACAGCCUGCAGAGCACCUCAGCAUCAUCAUCACAUGAGACCAUGGGAUGACCACCGUGAAGAAGAGACCCAAUGUCAACAAGAUCCCUUGUCCAACUACAUCAAGUUCAGGAACUUGGUCAAGUUUGAUAUUGUGGGCUACGGUGGCUUUGGGAUGCCCCUACCCAAAUUGGGGCAAGAGGAAACCCUUUACCAGGCACUGAAGAAUGCAUACCCUCACCUCCACAUCUUCAAGAAGGAGGAGUUUCCAGAGCAUUUCCAUCUUGCUAAACAUGACCAGGUUCUGCCAAUCGUGAUGUAUGCCAACUCUGGUUACAGUAUCAAUGGGAGAAUUAUAAUGUGUUUCAACAAAGGCAGCCGUGGCUUUGAUAAUGUCCUCAUGGAUAUGAGACCAUAUUCAGAGCUUUCGGGCCAGAUUUCAAGAGGAAUCGCCUGGCCGAGCCUUUUAAUGGCAUCCACAUCUACCCAUUCAUGUGUAAGCUCCUGGGAGUCACCCCCAAACCCACAACAGCUCCCUGGCAGUCACCCAGGAAAUGCUCGUGAACUCCUAUGUCCAGCAGCCAGGCCUGAAUGCUAGAAGUCCAAAAUCAG